UCAAAAAACUUUUGAUUGCAACUCAGCUUUGAACUUCAUAUUCUAGAUUAGUGGAUUCUCCUCUCUCUUCCAGCCAAGAGAUCCACAAGAUAUUUAAUUUUUCAAUUUAACCAUUAGAACUCAUUUUAGUGAUGAAUCCAAGCUUGAUUUGCUAAUAUGGGGUAUUCUCCUUAUCAUCAUGAAAACAUGUGGCUUGCUCUUCAAUCAAGUGUGCUUGCACUGCAGGAUAAUGCUUCGUCCUAGUAAAUAUUUUUAAAAUAAUAGUGCAUGCUCAAUUUUAGUAUGUAAAUCAAGUUCUUGCCUAAUCUUCAUGGCGAUUAUUACUUCUAGGCUUGACAUCAUUUAUUGGUAGGUUUCAUGUUGAUUCUAAGAUGAGGAGAGACAUCUACAGUAUUUUCUUUAAAUCUGUACUUCUAAUCUCAUAUGUGCAAUAUCUCUUCUUAAAUUUCUACAUUACCAUUGGUUAUAACUAUAAAUAUUGGUGGUGCAGCAGUGCACGAUGAGGUGUCCAUGUCAAGAAAAGGGCGAAAGAAUGAGCAAAAACGGAAAUGUUAGGAGCAACUCUAGGGAGGAGUGACUUCUAGAAAAUGGUUUAAUCUAUCAGAAACAAUGAUGAGAGAAGGAACAAGCACCUGGAAAUGGAAGGAUGAUUUAGGUUUCAACCUUGAUGCCCAUAAUAUGGGAUAUAGUAGAAAACACAAGUCGGAUAUGGCAUUGCAAUGCCCAGGUUGUGGCAAAAUCGACUACAUGGUAAAAGAAACAACCCUUGUAACCCUCAUUGGAGUGUAGCUGCCUCUUGAUCCUUGGGUCUCAGCUUCCUUCUUUCACUCAAAUUCCCUGUAUUGUGCAAAACCAAUGAUGCAAUUCAUCAAGCCUAGAGUUGGUGUUUUCCUCGAACAUAGGAUAACAUUUACAACAGUAAAAAUUAACAUUUGAGUUUAUAAAAAUUAAAAAUAAAUUUAAACACAUAAAACAUAUACAAAAAUUAUAAUUUAAAUUUUGAAAAUAUAUAUAUAUAUAUAUAUAUAUAUAUAUAAUGGAAAUCAUUUUAAAGAGAUUGCGUUGACUCUUUUCAUUUUCUUGAGUUCCAAUCCUCAUCCUUAAUUGACAUUGUAGCACGGAAUUGGAAACUUGAAAUAGAGCUAUGCAAACCUUUUCUAUGUAGACUUAAGAAACUGAAAAGCCAUACACACACACUCCAAUGCUAAUUUAUAAAAACAUAAAACAAAAAAAAGUAAAGUAGAAAAAAAAAUGAAAAAAAAAAUAAAAAAACUAAAAUAAGAGAUAAAGGGGGUAUGAAGUGGGGGCUCUAUAAGGCUAGCAAUCUUUGCAACCAGGGAAGUGCCAAGAGACUAAUGAGCUUCCCUGCUCAUAUUAGUCAGCUAGGUAUUUCAAAGCUCCAAUGCUUCCACUACCUUCCUGCCACCAUCCACCGGUCAGUCCCCACCACCAUCGCUACCACAACUUGCCCUUCUCUUUUUCUCCUUCUUCAUUUUUUUUCUUGUGGCUAUACUUAGUGAUGCUUCAUUCUUUCAUCGUUUCAUAUCUGACAUCCAAAUUUCGUCAAGUAUUAUUUGGCUACAUAGCCAUUGUCAAUAGUUAGGAAGCUGGCACAUCGUCAUUACUCGAACGAAACAGAUGAAUGGUUAAGAAACCUUGAUUUUCUUCCCAACACCAAGGAGAGGCAAUACAACUAUUCAAUAUUUGAAUGCUUUAGCGACGAGAUUCUAACACAUAACAACAGAGAUGAUGGAAUUGAAGACUGGAUGCAAUAAUCAAACAAACCUUUUUGAAACUAGGUAUUAUGAAUGUUAGAAUUUUUUGUUGAGUAUAUAUGGGAAGGGAAAAUCUUCAUUUAUAAGGGCUUGUUAAAUCUUGUUAGGGAUUUUUGUAUAUCCUAUAUAUACUCAUUCAAUUGAAUUGAUAAAAGUCAUUACUCAA